rnacentral:lncRNA from 1 species
GGGGCUCGUGGGGAGUGGGAGGAAGCUGGGGAGAAGAUGAGUUGAGAGCAGUCCAGUGUGAGGGAAAGUGGGGAUCCUGGGCCAACUUACCAUUAAGAGGGUCCAGUCCUGUGACUGCUGUGAAGUAACCAGGAUUCCACAUAGAGAUGGGGCUCAAAGUCAGCCCAGGAGCAGCACUGUGGUCCCAGAACUAAUAUUUGGCGACUCCAAGGCCAGGGAUAAAAAUGAAGAGAUGGAGAGACAAGAUUUCCUGGCCUCUAAUUGGCAGCACCCGUUGACUCUGCUCGUGACCAGACUCAUGAACGCUUCAUCCAAGGUUUCAUGUCAUCCGUGUGAGGAACCUCUCUGAUUUGAGAAAAUCUUUCUUAAAAUGGGCUUCUAGUUGUAAAGCCAUUGUCUUUUUAGGAAAUCAUCAAAUACCUUAAAGCUAGACACGCAAUCAGCUGCAUAAAUGACACACUCACUAAAUCAAUCCUUUAUCAGG